CUACGGGAUGCACCAGUGAGGAAUAUUGCACAAUGGGGGGAACCCUGAUGCAGCAACGCCGCGUGGAGGAUGACGCAUUUCGGUGUGUAAACUCCUUUUAUAUGUCAAGAAAAUGACGGUAGCAUAUGAAUAAGCACCGGCUAACUCCGUGCCAGCAGCCGCGGUAAUACGGAGGGUGCAAGCGUUACUCGGAAUCACUGGGCGUAAAGGACGCGUAGGCGGGUUGGAAAGUCAGGUGUGAAAUCCUACAGCUUAACUGUAGAACUGCACUUGAAACUUCUAAUCUAGAGUAUGGGAGGGGGAGAUGGGAUUAGUGGUGUAGGGGUAAAAUCCGUAGAUAUCACUAGGAAUACCUAAAGCGAAGGCGAUCUCCUGGAACAUUACUGACGCUAAGGCGUGAAAGCGUGGGGAGCAAACAGGAUUAGAUACCCCUGUAGUC
rnacentral:rRNA from 1 species